GUGCUUGCUUAGGCAGCACAUAUACUAAAAUUGCAACCAUACAGAGAAGAUUGGCAUGGCCCCUGCACAAGGAUGGCAGGUAAAUUCAUGAAGAAUUUGUAAGAUUU
ensembl:snRNA U6 U6 spliceosomal RNA